GCCGGGCGAGGUGGCGCACUCCUGUAAUCCCAGCAGCUGAGGAGGCUGAGGCUGAGACAGGAGGCAGGAGAGUUCAAAGCCAGCCUCAG
rnacentral:sRNA from 1 species